rnacentral:rRNA from 1 species
UGACGAGCGGCGGACGGGUGAGUAAUGUCUGGGAAACUGCCUGAUGGAGGGGGAUAACUACUGGAAACGGUAGCUAAUACCGCAUAACGUCGCAAGACCAAAGUGGGGGACCUUCGGGCCUCAUGCCAUCAGAUGUGCCCAGAUGGGAUUAGCUAGUAGGUGGGGUAAUGGCUCACCUAGGCGACGAUCCCUAGCUGGUCUGAGAGGAUGACCAGCCACACUGGAACUGAGACACGGUCCAGACUCCUACGGGAGGCAGCAGUGGGGAAUAUUGCACAAUGGGCGCAAGCCUGAUGCAGCCAUGCCGCGUGUAUGAAGAAGGCCUUCGGGUUGUAAAGUACUUUCAGCGAGGAGGAAGGCGUUAAGGUUAAUAACCUUGGCGAUUGACGUUACUCGCAGAAGAAGCACCGGCUAACUCCGUGCCAGCAGCCGCGGUAAUACGGAGGGUGCAAGCGUUAAUCGGAAUUACUGGGCGUAAAGCGCACGCAGGCGGUCUGUCAAGUCGGAUGUGAAAUCCCCGGGCUCAACCUGGGAACUGCAUUCGAAACUGGCAGGCUAGAGUCUUGUAGAGGGGGGUAGAAUUCCAGGUGUAGCGGUGAAAUGCGUAGAGAUCUGGAGGAAUACCGGUGGCGAAGGCGGCCCCCUGGACAAAGACUGACGCUCAGGUGCGAAAGCGUGGGGAGCAAACAGGAUUAGAUACCCUGGUAGUCCACGCCGUAAACGAUGUCGACUUGGAGGUUGUGCCCUUGAGGCGUGGCUUCCGGAGCUAACGCGUUAAGUCGACCGCCUGGGGAGUACGGCCGCAAGGUUAAAACUCAAAUGAAUUGACGGGGGCCCGCACAAGCGGUGGAGCAUGUGGUUUAAUUCGAUGCAACGCGAAGAACCUUACCUACUCUUGACAUCCAGAGAACUUAGCAGAGAUGCUUUGGUGCCUUCGGGAACUCUGAGACAGGUGCUGCAUGGCUGUCGUCAGCUCGUGUUGUGAAAUGUUGGGUUAAGUCCCGCAACGAGCGCAACCCUUAUCCUUUGUUGCCAGCGGUCCGGCCGGGAACUCAAAGGAGACUGCCAGUGAUAAACUGGAGGAAGGUGG